AGGGUUGAAAAUAUUAAUUUUGGAUGAUGAUGGAAAUACCACUAAUUCAACUACUAAUGUGGUUUACAAAGAAAUAUUUAAAAAUGUUUGAAACAUAUUGUUAACCCAUACUUAUCAGGUAUGAAAAUUCUUUAAUCGAAAACUAUUUAUAUGUCUCAUAUAUUUCUUCCAAUAUAUCUUCUAAUAUAUCAACAAUAAACCCAUAUUUUUU
rnacentral:lncRNA from 1 species